GGAGUACAGGGUUAUAAGAACCCAGAAGCUUGGAAGAAGGAAGCCUUGGAGCUGGGACUCAGACCUCUGAGGCAGAGAUGAUUCCCAGACAAUGCUGGUCCCUAUGAAUGGGGCUCCCAAGGCUGGUUCUGGGAGUGCGGGGGACGAAACUGGGGACUGGAAUGACUGCUGGUGUAACCACAUGCCCCUGGCAAGGUACUGCUGGAGGGAUGAUACCUAGAAGAGCAAGCAGAUAAGAGGAAAGCAUCCCUUCUUCCUCCUUCUUCCUUCCAGUCUCCCUAUUCGUGGAGCAUCCAGCUGGCAAAGGAAAAAUGUGGCUCACAGAUCCCCAGCCCCAGCAUCACAGAGUAGAGCCUAGAAGGAUGCGUUAGUUAAGAGGCGAUACCCUACCAACCAGCAUACCACACUUGGCAAAAUACAGCAGUCCCCCUUUCUCUGUGCUUUCAGUUACCCGUGGUCCAGGAGCAGACGAUCUUCCUUCUGAUGUAUCAUCAGCCACAGGGCGUUGAGCUGGCAGAUGGGCUCUAUCCAGCCCCGGGAAAGGAUACCACAGACCUUGCAUCCAAAGAGAUCACAACCAAGAUGGUAGGUGGAGAUACGUUCGACCUCACUCAUAAUAAAAAGAAAAGCAAAUUAAAACUACGACGACAUAACACUUUCGCCUAUACAAUUGCAAACAUUUUUAAACGUGAUCGCUCUGUUGACAAGAGUGUGAAAAACAAUUCUCUCCUCCCUGCCUGAUGGGACUCUCCUCCCUGUAAACCGGUACAGCCUCACAGGAGAAGAAGGUGAUCAGAUGAUGUGUAUCAAAAGAUUAAACGCAAAAUUUAAAUUGAGCCGCCACCGACCUCUGGGCAUUCGCUCUCCAGAUACUCUGGCAUCUGCAUGGAAAGACAGGCGUGCAAAGAUUUGCAUCCAGCACUACUUGCAAAAGCAAGACUGGAGGCACCCUGAGUGUCAAUCAGCAGAAGACUGGAUCUGGGAGAUGCGGGAUGUGGGUAUGUGUGGCAUGGGGUCUCCGAGAAGCAGAUGUCGAGACAGAGUGCAGGAUGUAUAUGGGGGAGUUACAGCUAUGAAGGAAAAGGAGAAGAAAUAAAAUUGGGUGGGGAGGGCUGCCACUGGAACAAGGUUCAGGGCUAACAAAGUCUCCUCACCCCCCCGAGGGAAGCAAAGAUCGCCUGUUAGGGAAAUAGCCAGGCUCAUCUUGGUAUCACCAGUACCACCACCGUUUGCCCAGCCUUGGGCUGCAGGCUGCCUGGAGAAGACCGUGACCCCAACUCAACAGCUGAGGGGGAACCCUGGAAAAGCUGCCAGCUUCCCAGUCCUCAGCGAGGCAGUGAGCCCUUUUACAAGGAGAGUCUAAACAACUCACUCCUGGGUCUGACAUAAGAGUCACCCAUACAAUAAAGAGAUAAAUCUAUAUUACUUGCCUGGGAACAGUCUCCAGGAUAUAGGUUAAGUGAAAAAUAUAUAAAUCAAGUGCAAAAGAGAGCACAGUGUUUUGGAACCAAGUACAGGUGAUGGUUGCCCAACAAUGUCUAUGUACUGAAUGCCAUGGAAUUGUACAUUUUAAAAUGGUUAAUUUUGUUAUGUGAACUUCAUGUCAAUUUUUUAAAGAAAGGACACAAUGCGCUACCAUCGUGUUAAUAAAAAAGGAAACGCACCUAUGUGCAUGUAUGCACAGAAAGGCAUGGAAAAUCUCCGGAAGGAGCCGUGAAAGACUGGUUCUGUGGCUGGCACUGAGGAGAGAGACCUAAUUUUCACUGAAUGCUCUUGGUACUGCUUAAAUUUUUACCACAUGCAUGUCAUUACACCCUCUCUGAAAUGAACCAUCAUCAAAGAUGUUAAUUGUUCUGAUGAAUGAAUUACUUGCCGUCAGGAGAAAUCAAUGAAAAAUUCCCUGCCAGAUUACUAUUAACCAGACACUAUCAUAUUGGUCUUUCAAUUUCAGAAAAUUCAGCCCCCGUCAAGGUGCAUGGACAGCACAUACCAGGUUCCUUUCCCUCUCAGGGUCAGAGUACUUGAGGAACACAGACACAGUAAAUUUCUGGAACCACGUGGUGAACACCGAUACUUGCUAGAAAAGGAGGAAAAUUGUAUCUUACUGAAAAUUCCUUCACCAGCUGCUGUAUCAUGCAACAUUGAGCAAAUUAGCAUGCCUUCACAGAGUUCAUUAUUUUAAAGAUGGUAAAAUGGCCAAGUCACUGACGUUUCCCCUUUCAUCAAAACGUAGAGGACUGGUUGCCUCUGGGUCUCUCCAAUUGCUCCAGCACGUCUUUUGAACCCAUCUGAUGGUGUCACUCAAAAAGGGCACCUCUUUCAACUUGGCUGCCUCUUUUUGACCCAAAAUAAUUUCAGCCAUUUCUACAGCUCCAGGCUCCACCAGGUUUUCUAUUAUUACAUGCAUCUUUCACGGUGAUUCUGAACUGACCUUGAAUGAAGAGACAAACAAUUUUUUAUCUGUUUGCUUGAUUGUACUUCUCAGGCAUUGCUCCAAGCCAAGGCUUUUCUUUUGCGUAGCAAAAAACACUAGUGCUUUGCCUCUAAAGUCACACAAGGGGCUUUCCAAUGCCUCUGCGAGUGUUUUGUUGCAUGCAAUCAGGGCUCAGAUUUUUCUUGAUGGAGAGACAUAUGGUUGGGCCCAUUUUAGCAACUCCGUAAUAAAACCAAUUACAAAAAUAAGCAUCUAAGAAUAUCUUACGCUUUUAAGAUUGACACCACUGCUCACACUACUCAAUUGCUACUUGUGGCUGGCAGUUCAUGCAGUGUCUUCGUGGUCAAGUUCACUGUGGCAAACUCAGAGGCAAUGCCAUUUCAUAGCUAAAGGACUUUGGGUUCUAUGGGAUCCACUCAUUAGGUGGCACAUGUCCCUGAUUUCAAGCUUUUGCUUCAGAUUUUUAAACCUUUUAGCUGACGAACAGCUGUAAGCUUACUGCUCUUUAAGAAAGUAAAUGAGGGGCACCUGGAUGGCUCAGUCUGUUGGGGCUCCGACUUCGG